CCCGAGCCCCUCCUGCUGCCGCACCGUCCCGCGAGGAGGUCCGGCGCCGCCCACCCCGAGCCCCUCCUGCUUCCGCGCCGUCCCGUGUAGAGGCGCGCCGCCGCCCCGAGCACCUCGUGCUGCCGCGCCGCCGUCCGCGAGGAAGUCCAGCUUCGCCCACCGUCCAUGCGCGCACCGCGUGCCGUCGCGAGGAGGUCCCGCCGCCGCCGCCGCCGCCGACACCCGCGCCUCCGACCCGACCCCGGCGCCGCAUCCCUCGAUGCAGGUAUAAUUUGAGUGAUUUUCCCGAUUCAAGUCUUGUCGUGGGAAACAAGCUGAGAACAAUGCGGGAAAUGAUAGAGGGACCCCUGGUAAUGUUGAGUACAGCAUAGGUGUAAUGCAUAGAUCAUAUCGUUCUUAUCAAACAUUGUAAUAUAUUGGACUCUUUGUUUUAAUUUCGAUGUAUAUGAACUCUUUGUUUUAAUCUUGAUGUAUGGACUCUUUCAUUUAAUCUCGAUGUAUGAGCUCA